UUCCAUCUUGCUUGAUCAAGACAUGUCACAACCUGGUUAUUGUAUUUGUUAUGUUAAGAUGGAUUAUCUUGGCUUGCUUUUGAACUGAAGUCUUUUGUAGUUGUCUGGAUCAACUGCUAUGUACCAAAUAUGUAUAGCUUUUUUUUUGGACCGAAGCCUUUUGUUGUUUCAUGGACCAAUUGCUAUGUACUGAAUGUGUAUGUAUCGAUGCAAUGCUUUUGAUAUAAACUUGAUAUUAGAUUGAUAAACACAACUACAUUAUGCUAUUUUGUAUUACCGGUUUGGAUAUGACUAUACCCGGCAGCAUUGCUGCGGCAAGCCGCAUUUCCUACCUAGUGAUAUGGAGUGGUGGAAUAGAGUGUGAUAGCAUGUCUCUCUGCUGGUCGUCCUGUAUCACUCAUCAGCCCGAGAAUUUUGCAUCUCAAAAAAGAAAAAAAGAACUGAGUAAUUUGGUAGUGCCAAAUUAAAUAUGUGGCUGUGAUAUACUCCUUUCGUUCCUAAGUAUAAGGUGUAUUCUUUUUAAAUGUUAAACUUUUUUUAACUUUGACCAAGUUUGUAGACAAAAAUACGAAUGUCUAGGGUACCAAAUCAUUAUAAAUACAGGCUUUUGGAUCGGCAAGCAGCACAGUAAGAUAGCACAAUAGCAGACGUACACAGCUCUCAAAGCCUCGCUGGAAUCAGCAGGUAUAUGCAUGGCGUCCUUGGGUAAUAGAGGUGCCAGCCGUUUCAUGGCGCUCCUCAAGAUGGCUCUCCUCGUCGUCGUCACCACCUUCAUUAUCAACAGCUCCGUCUGCCUUGGAGCUGCCGGCCACCACAAUACUGCAGGCCCUCCUACUGUCAACCAUCGCGGGUGCCUUGGCAAGUACUAUUGCCGCCCGCCGGCUGGUGGCCAACCCUAAUUAUAUUAGAUCAGGGACGCAGCUUGCUACUCACCACUCAUCUUCCUUUUUGUAUGGGUGAAUCGUUGAAUAAACUUAUUCGGAUCACUUGGGUAUAAUACCUCCUCUGUCCGCAACUGAUGAAGAGUGGCAACAGAUCCUGGUGUCCAGUACCAAUAAAUGAACCUAUACAUUUGUGUCCGCAUAUUACCAGUUUGUUACCUGGACUUGUAAUAGUUUGCUGGUUAUUUUGUAAAACAGCCGUUUGGUUGAUCUGGUUAUGUCUUUUCAGGGCUAGCUACCUUGGUUUCAGCCUGGGUA